CCUUUCUUCAUAGGAGUUUCACGCCACUUUCUUCUUCCUUUCUACUUCACAUGGCCAAACCUAGCUUCUAGAGAGUAGAAAACCUAUUACACAAAAGUGAUAGCUUUUGAUCUUGUGAUCCUAAAUCUCUUUUCUUUUCUUCUUGAAGAUCUUUGUAGUGAGAGAAAUCUUCAGCCAAAGAGAGUUGGUGCUAUUAACCUAGAGAGAGAAAGUUAGGGUUUUGAUAAAUUGAUUGGUGUAAAAGAAAGCUUGGUGUUCAAGGAAGCUAUUCAAGUUUAAAAGGAUACAGUGAGUGGAAGUAAAGAGUGCAGGUUGCUUGGACAACAAGUUAUUAAUAGGAACGCUGAUCAGGUACUUCUAGAGUGGAAGAUAAAGAUAAUGGUAAGAAGACUGUGGAUGAAGACUAGAGUUGUAACACCCCCAAAUUUCUAACAAUUUAUAAAACAUUCUUAUAACAAAUAAAUUGUAUAAAUUCACAUUUUAUAUAAUUAAGGAUAAUGGUAAAAAGCCUGUGGAUGAAGACUUUUGAGAAAUAAGUCAAUCAAACUAGUUAAAGUUUUGUGGAGAUGUCAAAAGGUAGAAGAAGCAACAUGGGAGGCAGGAGACGACAUGCGCAAUAAAUACCCGUUUUUAUUUGAAGAAGGUACGCAAUUAAGUUUCGAGGACGAAACUUUUCUUUUAGGGAAAGGUGAGAGUUACCAAUACAUUAGUUAGCAAUUCAUUAGCAUAAAAAAGCACAAAAUCAUAGUAUAUUAUCCUAUAAUUCAUAUUGUCCUAUACCAUUUUGUCUACUUGCUAAUUUGUUUACGUGCAACAAUUUUAAAAUUCUAGUACUUUAUGCUUUUUAGUUAAUUUGAGAAGCUCAAACUUUUAAGUUUCGAGGACGAAACUUCUUUUAAGGAGGGUAAGAUGUAAUA